rnacentral:rRNA from 1 species
AUCAGCUUCCCCCUGCGCACAUGACUCGUGUCCAGCAGCCCCACCCACCGCUGCCUCCAUACGACCUUAUCUUCUUGCCUGGUCGUCUUUCCCGAUCCCCAUUCCAUCUUCCCCUUGCGCCGUCUGUGCCACCAUUUAUCUUUCAAUCGCCGCUCCUCCUUCAACAGCACCAUGCCUAAUAGGCUCGCCUCUCUCGCGGCCCGGCCGCCGGAGCUCGCCAUGCUCUUCUGCGAGAGGGGGAGAUGACAGUGCUGCAAGGCGACAGCCGCCAUGGUUGCGGGACGAUGGCAGUUCCCGGCGGCGGCGCUGAGGGAUGUUGCAAGGCGGCGACGGGCCACGGCGAGAGGCGUGCUACGACAGCGUCGACACCACGGAGGUGCCGCGAGGCUGCGGUGAUGCUUCAAUUUCCGUGGCUACGCUCGGUGCUGAGCUGCGCUCCAAGGGCGGCCGCCGGUGCUAUGAGUCUAUGACGACCCGCCGGUGGCUGCGCUGCUACGAGGCCGGCCCGGUGAUUUCCCAACUCUAUUUUCUGGAUUGCUCCGAUCUGCACCGACAAGCGGUCCUGCCGAGGUCGUCCGAUGUACGGCUAAUGUGAGGCCACCAGAGUUGCGGGACUGGCACGGGCCGCACGGCUGCUGCCGGGACGACAACAAACGGGGCAGCGACGCCCGGGCCUCGGCCCUUUUUUUGGUUCCUUCCUCGCUGGUACCAGGCUACCAGCUGUGUCUCAGUGUCUCUCUUCUCCUGAGCUGGGGCAUGCACGCAUAUGUUGUUGUUUUCUAUUUAAUUGCUCGUAUGUGAUCUUCCGAGAUGUUUUUGUCUUUGCGGCAGGUCUUGCCCACAUUCUUAUUUGAUUCCCUUUCUUCUACUAUUUUUCUUCAGAGAGAUGGCCAUGGCCGCUUGAUGCCCGAGCGCCGCCGGCCAAGGACCCGCCCGCAUCUAGACCCUCUCCAUGCAAUCCCCAUCUCGCCGGAGACCUGAACCAAGUCCCAUCCAGUGCCCGUGCCAUUCUUCACCCUCCCGCCCCGCAGCUCCGUAGCCCGAGCGCUUCAGCCGCCUCGCGCCCGAAGCAGAGGAGAGGAGCUCCCUGCCACGAGCCUCUCCAGCGCCGGCAAACCAGGCCGACCCCGCCUCCUUCUCGCUUCUUAAGAAAGCACAUGGGCUUUUCUGUAAAAUGCAAAAAAAAAACGAUUCGUUCUUACUUAAAACAGGACUGCGGGUUAAAUUCUCUGAAACAGAGGGACUUUUCUGCAAAAUCGCUAGCGACGACGGACGACAGAAACCCAAUUCUCUUAUAUAUCUUUCCCUCUUUCCCUACUAAUAAAGCAGCCAAUGCUUCUGGUCGUCCGUCGCUGUCAUUUUUGCAAAAAAGUCCCC